GAAGGUUCUGUCAUACACUCCGGCUCUGUAACUGAGAAAAGUCAGUGCAUGACAGAACUUUGU
rnacentral:pre_miRNA from 1 species